ACGGGAGGCAGCAGUGGGGGAUAUUGCACAAUGGGGGAAACCCUGAUGCAGCAACGCCGCGUGAAGGAAGACGGUCUUCGGAUUGUAAACUUUUGUACACAGGGACGAUAAUGACGGUACCUGUGCAGCAAGCUCCGGCUAACUACGUGCCAGCAGCCGCGGUAAUACGUAGGGAGCGAGCGUUGUCCGGAAUUACUGGGUGUAAAGGGUGCGUAGGCGGCUCUGGUAAGUUAGUGGUGAAAACUAUGGGCUUAACCCAUAGCCUGCCAUUAAAACUGCUGGGCUUGAGUGAAGUAGAGGUAGGCGGAAUUCCCGGUGUAGCGGUGAAAUGCGUAGAGAUCGGGAGGAACACCAGUGGCGAAGGCGGCCUACUGGGCUUUAACUGACGCUGAGGCACGAAAGUAUGGGUAGCAAACAGGAUUAGAUACCCUGGUA
rnacentral:rRNA from 1 species